GUCAGCUACAUGUGCUCGCUCUGAACUAGAGAUGUGGCCUUUUCGCUAUCGUCUUAGUACAGGGAACCAUUUGUGCCAAAAAUAUGAACCCCUGGUGAUAAAACAAAAUAGUUGGUGCCAGCAGUUAAUCGUAAUCACACGUCAGUUUAGAGAAGAUGCAAGGGGAAGAUGAGAUCAAUAGAAUCCUUGGAUUUCUUAUAGGUAGCACCCCACAACUUUCACAACAAAACCAACAGGCUACUCCAUGGCCUUCUCAGCAGCCAGCAGUACCUACACAUCAAGGCGAGUUGUGAUUAUGGUGUACUUUGCUAAAGAGCCAAGUUCAAUUUCUAGAAAUAGAUUUUGUUA